rnacentral:lncRNA from 1 species
CUUGCCAUUAAGAGCUGCUCAACAAUGGAAUGGGCUGCCUUGGAGGAUGUUUGCCUAUCCUUGUCACUGCUUGACAAGUGACAACUGACCCUGAAUUUUCACAACACAAAUUGAUUCAUAAGAACUCAACAAUCCCUGAAGGGCUUACUUGGAUCACUGAAGAUAAAGACAAGCUGUUUCUCUGCUCCAAUUUGACAUUUAUAUAAAUAGCAAAUAAAUGAUCUGAAAAACCACUUUGUUUUACUACUUUCCCCUCUUUCUGUAACUAUUGUGAUGGCAUACCAUUUGCAUGUGGAUGAGGUAACAAAUAAGCCAUAAGCUCAUUGGCUGUCUUAAGUCAUCUGCUAAGGAUGACCUAGAUACCAUUGUUGAACUAAAGUCUACUGCUACAGUGGUACCUAAGUUACUGUAACUCCCCUGUAUCUCACUCUUGUCUAGAGGAGAAGAUGCCAUCCAUAAGAGAACACCUUAACACCCAGACGUCAUGAGAAUAAAGUAUCAUCAAGUUCAGCAACUGUUCUUUUCCUAUCCACAGAUUAUUCAGGAUGGGGCAUUGAAUUAAUAAAUGAGAUCCAUUUCAAGCCAUAAAAGGGAGCAUGGGUGUUGUUGUCAUACAAUAGAUUUGAAGCAGGGAUCUGAAACUACCUGCAAAACAUACAGCAUAUUAAUCUUCUUCUGAAGUUGCAAUUCAUUUGGAGGUAAGUUUCUUAACUCAUUUUUGAGAAACUCGCAAAUCAUAUAUUUAGAGACAGCUAGAAGGAAGGAUAAAACAAUGGAUUAGAAUUUUGGGAAACAAAUGCUAUCCAUAUUGUUUUGGAAUUACUGUGUGGUCAC